AUUAUCUUCAAUAAUGAUAAAAUUAUUUUUGCUGUCUACACACAAAUUGCUUUUGACGUCGACAAUUACUCGAAUAAUGUAUUUCCAGAUAACAAUGAGAUUUCAAAUAAUUCUGAGAAUUAUAAUUGAUCAUCAGAUGAGGAGAAAGAUGAAAUAAUUGCAUCUCGUUACGAAACUAUCAAAGAAAUAAAUAUACAGGAUUUAUGCAAAAUUCUAAAGAUGCACAAGAGAUAAAUUUGGAUGAACAAAGUCUAUCAGAAAAAAUGGGAUGCGGAGAGAUGCGGAGCAAUAAGAAGCUGAGGAGAAAGAAAAAUGCCAUCCUGAAUAUCAUCCAAGGAAUUAUGAAGACUAUUCUCGUCUCGUAGACUGUGAUGAUUUUUGUACGAACCACAAGCAAAUUGAUAAAAAUCUUGACAGGGUUUAGACGUUAAAUCGAGGUU